rnacentral:antisense_RNA from 1 species
CUGUAUUUGUAACUGUUACGCGAAUAAUCUAGG